rnacentral:tRNA from 1 species
AAAAAUUUAGUUAAACUAUAACGUUAGCUUGUCAAGCUAAAAUUAUCCAUCCGAUAAUUUUUA